UAAUUGCAUGUCUUUGCAUAGUAUUUUAUCUUGAGCGGAUGCCUUUGUUAUUGAUUGAAACCAACUAUACUGGUAGCAACUUGCAAGGAUUGGUUCAGAAAACUUGUAAGCUGUAUUAGGUUACCAUCUAUUCCUGUUCUAAUACGUUAUAGCUCUUUCAAAAUUUCCGAAUUAUUGGAGAGCAUUUGGUGUGAUCAUAACAACAUUUGCUGUCUUACCAUGUUAAUUUCGAACUGAGGGUGUUUAUGCUGGUUAGGAAUUGUGAUGAUUAGUAAUAAGAUAUCUUGAUUCGCACGUGGCUAGGUCCAAAACUAAAAUUUGCAGCUUAUAUGUUGUAGGUAUAGAUUAUAGGAAAUUCUUCUGUUCAUAUAGAAUUUCUUGGGCAUCUAUAUCCGGAAUUGACCAGUAGGCUUUCCUUGCAGCUGUUGAUUCCCCUUUUCCAAAUCCGUAGGUUUUAGGUCAUACUACCUGUGACAAACAUAAUUGACUUUAUGUCUCCAGCUGACCAGUACAUAUAGCGGUUGCAAACCAUAGAAACGUAGGAAAUGUGCUUCAGACUUCAUUAUUCUCCCUCAUGUGUAUUGUAUUCCAUGAGCCCAAAUAUAGUAAGAUGUGGGUACAAAGUGGGCCACACACAUUUUCGUUAGGCUGGAGGGUGUAGUAAUGUUCUAGUGCAUUUUUUUUUAUGUUAGUAAUGUAUUGAACUCAAGACCUCUCGGUCACCGAACAGUUUUUGCUGAGCAGGAAAUGUUAACCAUAAACUUCAUCUAUUGUCAGUUCAUUUCAUCAUGUGAGUUACAAAGGGUCAGGAAGUAUGUAUUAAGGCAUUUAGCGCAAAGCGUAAGCCUAGAAAAUAUGACAGGUUCUACUUUAAUCUGAUCUGGAGCUUACUGGAUCGAAACUAUCAGCUUAUUUGAAAAAGAGGAAACACUCGUUACUGUUAAUCAACUCACGAUCUGAACAUUUGUAAAACAAAAUAAGAUCAAGUAAAUAGAUGAAGUCAAAAAGAUCGAUAGUGCCAUGAAACUAACUAUAGAAAAAGUUGAUGGUGUGAUAUAGCAGUAGACGGACAAUAGAUUAAAAAGGAAUGGGUCACAGAAGCAAAGAUGGAAAUAGUUGAUGAAUGCAUAAGUGACGUAGUUUCAAAUGCGUGCGAACAAUGGAGGGAAAAUGAGAGUCUGUUAGGGUGUGUUUGGUUCAGAGGUGACUUUAGGGGGUGAGGGUAUCCCCAACCACCUGCUUAGGGAUAGCCAUUUUUUCUGUUUGGUUGUGUUGGCUGAGAUGUUAUUAGGAAUAGUCAUUUGAGUGUUUGGUUGAAGGGACGAGGAGUGGAUAGGUUGUUGUGGUGACCUCUUUAAUUGUGGUGACAUUACCACUUUUUUCUUUUUAAUUCUAACUACUCAACUCAAAAACACAAGAGGCGCCAGAGACUUGCAAAUGACAAAUCAAUGCUGCCUGUGCCUCCUUGCUCCUCCUGUUAUGGUUGACUGUCGUGCGUCCUUGUCCAUGCGACAUACACAUAGAGAGACCAUCAGAGAGAGCCAUGGGUGAGAAAGCCCUUCUGUCAAUACCUGUCAUUUGCCAUGACUUUGCUGCGAGACAAAGACAGAGUGAGACACAAGAUGACAGGAGAGAGGAUGCGGGCAGAGAGAGAGAAGAGCUACAAGUUCAAGACGCCUUGCAGUACCGUGAUGUUCUGCCGCAUCCAUCUCCUCCUCAGUCGCGCACCUUGGCUGCCGGCACCCCAACUCCUCAUCAGACCACGGCCAGUCGGAUAGUCUGACACCCCACCUCACCACGCCGCCAUUGCCCUUGUGCCAGCCGCCGUCGCCCUCGAUCUGGCGUCAGCAGCAACUUUAAGAGAGAAAGAGGGAUGUGUUUUCUAGAAACAGAGGAGGAGAUGAGCGAGGCAAAAAUGAUUCGGGGUCCAGGGAACUCGCCAGCCAGAAGUGGCUGUCCUCAUCCAGCAGAUUUUGCGGGACGAGCUCAACUAGAGUUUACUGAAUAUUCGUGGGAAUAUGGUUAUCCCUAUCCCUCUCACCCAACAAACCAAAUGCCUAGCAACCACUUUUUCAGUGGCUACCCUUAGCCACAUGAGGAUAUCCCCUGAAAAAACUGCCGCUUAGUUGCGCUAAUGAAUGGAACCAGGGGGCAACCCUUUUAUCUAAAAAAAGAGAUCCGCCAAAGAGUUGAAUUGGAGGUGCAUAACUUGCAUAGCCAUCAACUGUUGGCACUCGCACGCUACGUGGCAACUAAGUGCAGGGGAUGACAGGAUUUAAAUGGGCACUUGAAGAGUUUUCAAUGUUUCGUGCAUGAAAUUAUAUGAGCACCCCCACUGUAGAAAGGUUUGCACCAAUGAGAGUUUUUUUUAUUGAAAAAAGGUAGAGAAAUACUCUACCUUAUGGUUGCAGAUGCCCUGGGCAAUUAGUCAGGGGAUUUACCACCAGAUCACAGCCUGUCAGGGGGAGGAAAAUAAGAAAGAAAAAGAAGACCUAAACUAAAACUGGAGUAAAGUGAGGUGAUAGCAGAUUUACCCAAGGAAAAUGCUCGGUUUCUGUUGGAGGCUGCGUGGCUCCGUGCCUCCGGCUAGCGCGUCGUAGGAUCCUUUUCCGUCGCGAGCUGAGCGCGUGACACGCGUCCUUUCGCGUGGUGAGACAGCGAUGGCGGACCCACCACAUUGCGGGCCGAUGGCUUAUCUCCUCUGAACGAUUCUUCUCCACCCGUUCCUAUUUUCUCUGUCUGUAGAAAAACUUCGCAUUCCAUAGUCUGCUCUCCGAGAGCUCGACCACGCCGGUGAGCUGCCGCCCCGUCCCUCCGGCCCGCGCGCCUCCGGUACAAGAUGGCGAGCACCUACACGGCGGCGCCAUGGUGUGGGCUCUCCACCAGAAGGUGGGCGCGGUGGUGAAUUUCUGCGACACGCGCGAACACGCCUGCAGAAGUCGCUGGCCGGAGCUGCAAUCGGUCUACACGGGAGCUGCAAGCCGCCACCAGCGGAGCUGCAAGGAGCGUCACCGAUUGCUCCGAGCGCCUACCGUCGAGCUGCAAGGGGGCGCCGCCGAUGCUUCAAGCGCCUACCACCGGAGCUGCAACCGGUAAACAAGGGCGCUGCAAGCCGCCACCAGCGGAGCUGCAAGGAGCAUCACCGAUUGCUCCGAGCGCCUACCGUCGAGCUGCAAGGGGCGCCGCUGAUGCUUCAAGCGCCUACCUUCGGAGCUGCAACCAGUCAACAGGGGAGCUGCAAACCGCCCGCGGCGAGCUGCAAGGAGCAUCGCUGAUUGCUCCGCCUACCGGCGGAGUUGCAAGGGGAGCUCCGCCGAUGCGUCGAGCGCCUACCGCUGGAGUUGCAACCGGUUAACGGGGAAGCUGCAAGCAGCCGCCGGCGGAGCUGCAAGGAGCGUCACCCAUUGCUCCGAGCGCCUGCCGCCGGAGUUUCGAGGGGCCUCCGUAGGAGCUCCAAUGGGUUGUCACUGGUGCUGCUAGCGGUGUUGAGGGAGCACGCGACGGUGCUACCCAGACCGACGACGGUGCUGCUCGCCGGAGUCCGCCGGGCUGCUACAAGUUGGGAGGGAGGUACUGCUGCGCCUGCACGAGUCGUUUGCUAUGAGGUGGCGUGGAGGCUGACCUCGCCGGAGCUGGACGCCAACAUCGCCGGAGGUGCCGGUCAAGGGCCAAGCUACCGCCCCAUGGCGAUAGUGCUGCAGUUGCUUCGAGCGAGGACACGAGAACGCUGUGUGGCCAUUUUUUUCCGGGAGCGUGGAAGGUCUCCGUGUGGCUGAGUGGCCCCCGUGGGACACGUGUCGAUCGCUGGAUACGGAGGUUCGGGACGUUUGAGCCUCCGGAGGAUUAUCAGCACUGUCGUUUACCCAAUCUACCAGCUUGACCCUGAUUUUAUUGUUGAGGGAGGACCACAGUUUGAGUUCUUCCAGAAUGUCAUUCAGCAGCACCGUGUGUAUGGUCUGCAUGUUGUUAAAAGCCCUGUUAUUCCUUGUUCUCCAUAGGCACAGUAGGAGAGCUGCAAUGCACAUCAGCCAUGUCUGUGGUUCUAUUUUGUUCCGGGCAUUUUCUGCAAACUGUAACUUGCCCGUGCAGCCCCUGACACCCAGCCCCUUUUUCUCAAACCCAACCGGAGUUCAUUCUUGUAAUGAAAUGUGGUGGAUUCAUUCAAAUGCUAGGCGGAGGUGGCAGCCUGCGUCGGAGCACCAUGUCCUGUCGACAAUGUUAUCUCACAUGUUUAAUCGCCACGGUAUGCCAGCCAUAGAAAUAAGUUGUGUCAAUGUGGUAUCACUGAACAACAAACCCAGUUCUUGGCAAUCCACCUUAUUUCUCGGUCCGAGAAAAUUUGGUGGAAGGCAGCCGUUGAUGGGGUGUUUCCUGCCGUGACUAUUUUUCUAUCGUCAGCAUCAACAGGUGAGUCAGCUGUUCUUUGCUGUAGCUGCUGCUGUGUCGUGUGAGAAAGCGAGGCCAGAAGCUGAAUUUUCCAACUGUCACUGUAAAACUGAGAUGCGACAGUGUAUUCUCAGUACUGGGCAAACGAGUAUAGCACCGGGAAAGUGAGGUGCAGGCGGCCCUAGGUUAGCAGUGAUCUUUCCAGAAGGCCACCGAAAUGCCUGAGCCGAUCAUACAAGUUAUAGUCAUCUGAACUGCUGGCAGAAGGGCAAGCAAUGAUUUCCAGAAGGUGGUGUCUCGCUGUCCUGCAGUUGCUGGGAUGCUCAGUUGCAUGUCCUCUUGCCUGAGCGGCUUUGUUUUUCAUUAGAGCUUUAUUAUGUAUAUGCAGACUCCUGAUCGUGAAGCAGUGACCCCCAGCACCUCGAACUUGUUCUUCCAAAGAAAGCCCUUCGCAGCUUGUCCCAUUUCUCAACGGGAUAGAGAUGCAGGGAUGUGAACGUGAACACUAGAACUGAACUAUAGCACCAAAUGAGCUAUCCAGUUUUUGAUGGAAACCUUUUGUUAUUUUUCAAGUGUGUGGGUUAUCUAUUUGUGACAUGAUUGCAUAUUAAUUUAACAUGUUUCCACCAAUGAGAGAUGUUGACUUUUUA